GUCCCUGCCUGGAAGCGUCGAACAUGCUCCCGGUCAAAUAAUAUCUGUUCUUAUCUGUUUAAUAUCUGAUAUGAUCUCUAUCUGAGAUCUUUAUAUUAAAUGGAUUUUUGGAAUAGGGGGUCUGAACAGGAGCUUGCUCCGUCUACUCCACCAUCGACCUGGUAUUGCAGUACUUUCCGGAGCGGUGCACCUCCC
ensembl:snRNA U2 U2 spliceosomal RNA